rnacentral:rRNA from 1 species
UACGUAGGCAGCGAGCGUUGUUCGGAAUUACUGGGCGUAAAGAGUGUGUAGGCGGUGCUCUAAGUUCGGUGUGAAAUCUCCUGCUCAACUGGGAGGGUGCGCCGGAAACUGGAGUGCUUGAGCGUGGGAGAGGAAAGUGGAAUUCCUGGUGUAGCGGUGAAAUGCGUAGAUAUCAGGAGGAACACCGGUGGUGUAGACGGCUUUUCUGGA